rnacentral:rRNA from 1 species
AGCUCCAAUAGCGUAUAUUAAAGUUGUUGCAGUUAAAAAGCUCGUAGUCUGACCUAUUUGGCCUUUUCCUUUGGAUUUGCCUGCAUUGUUGAGGCGCCCUUGUCCCUGCUGGCUUCGGUCAGUGGGCUUGGACUGUCUUUUGUGCGGGGGGCCAAAUUUGUACUUCGGAGGAACUUGGGUCCUCUUCAUUGAGUGCCCUGUGGGAUUCCGAUAGUUUACUUUGAGAAAAAUAGAGUGUUCAAAGCAGGCGUUUUGCCCUUGAAUACGUUAGCAUGGGAUAAUGAAAUAGGACAUUGGUUCUCUAUUUCUGAUGGUUUGAAGGACCGAUGUAAUGAUUAAUAGGGACAGUUGGGGACAUUCAUAUUUCAUGGCUAGAGGUGAAAUUCUUGGAUUCAUGGAA